CGUGGGCCCGCGGGUCUACCGGAAUGCGGUCUUCUCCGUGGGCAUAUGGAGGGAGCUCCAGUUGGGCCGCAGCCCAGAAGAGGAACAGGUAACUGAUACUGCUUCACAGGCUGUCUGCGACACUGGAGGGGUGAGUGUGGGUUGUCGCAUAGCGAAACGAUCACAGAAGGCCUGGUAUAUUGCCUCAAAUCUAGCGUUGAAGACUUCUCUCCAGUUCUGGCCUGACAGGCUCAUUUAAUUGUGCUGAGGUGUCAAUGCGGCGGCCAUCUUGGACGAGCUGCGUGGCUUUCAAGAUUCCUCUGCUUGUCUCCCUGGAACAGGCUUAGCGGACCAAGUAGGGACCGGGAUAUCCCCCACCGGUCCAAAUGGAGGGGGGGGGGGGUAAUGGGGCUCUGAGCAUUCAGUUGUAAGUUGCGCACCCACUGGUAGGAGAUCAACCUCAUCUCCACACCAUCAGCGUGCCAGAUGCAGUAGGCCUCAGACAUUUACAUGGGCGAUGUCCAGCAAAC